GGCGGGGGGUUUAUUUUCCUUCUCGCCCCGUCGAACAGGAAGCGAAGCGAGGCGGUGCGCGCCGGCCUAGCGGGUGCGGGGCGCGCGCGGCAGCACCAGCAGCGGGAUCUGCUCCAGCCGCUCGGGCCGCGCCCCCCGCCGCCGCCACGCCGCCAGCCUCCGCAGCAGCCCCUGCAGGCGCCGGGGCGCCCACCCGCCGCGCUCGGGGGCCUUCCUGCGGCGCCCUCCGCGGCCCGCGCCGCGCGCCCACAGCCGCCGCCAGCACCAGCAGCCCGCGCCGCCCCCGCCUCCGCCUCCGCCGCCGCCGCCGCCGCCCCGGGGCCUCCGCGCCUCCGCCAUGCCCGCGCUGCCCGCACGCUCCUCCGGGCCGAGGGCUCCUCGGUGCGCGCCCGGGUCGCCCGGGAAACGCGAACGCGGGCCCACAAUGCCCCGCACGGGCCGCCGGGGGUUGGGGGGGAGGAUGGGGGGGAUGGGCCGCGUGACCCCUGCCUGGCCUCGACACCGACACCGAGGGCGGGAUCCAGGCGUGCCCGGGGCUCGAACGGCCCCCUCGGCUCCCCCACUGGAUCCCAACUUGGCUGCCGGGCCCAGGCCAGUGUUGCCUGCAGGCUUGUCGUUUCGGGGACGCUGGUUUCAGGGCUUCUCUGAUUUUCCACAAAGGCGGGGAACCAGUGUCUCAGGAAAGAUCCCCAAACCUGUCAUCUGGGCAGAAGCCUUUUGGUCCUCAUGGCAUAAGCCAUUCCCCUUCAAGAACCACUUGGUUGCUUUGCUCCUUCUCCAGUUGUCCGUGGGGGCCUCCUCCUCGUAUUCCGGGCUGUGUGUGCUUCCUGCUUCCUGUGCCAGAAAGUCAAGCACAAGUUUCUUAGGGGGAAAAUACAUGAACUAACAAGAUGGGGACAACCAAGCUUUCUCCCUGCCCAGGACAGAGGCUCGGAGAGAGAGCUGUGAUUACGACGCAGCAAACUGGACACUAAUUAUAAGCCACACAACUCCCUAGGUGCUGUUCCUUUGUCCUUGGUGCCAAAGCCUCUGCUGCCAAUGUCAAGUGGAGAAUUGCAAGUUCACUGGCAUGCAGCUUUCAGAAGCCCCUCAGCAGCUGGGCAGAAAAGUCCAGGGGAUGCCAAGGACAGGCUGAGCCCUAGGGGCUAGCAUAAGCAACGCAUCCUGGUCUCGACUGUUGGAAGAAUGGGCCUAGGGAUGCAUUUAUUUUGGCACAAUUUUAUUUAAGAAAGCCCCAACCAUGUGUUCAGGCAACAGAUGUCCAGGCGAGGCCCGGGGAGAUGGAGAGGAGUGCUUGCCCCUCUGACUCUUCCUCAUUUGAGACUUGCCCCAGCUUCCAGACCUCGUGUAAAAUGACCCUGCUCCUCCUCUGCCACAAGCUAUGACCCAAACUCCAUCACUCAAAUUGUCUCUCCCCAGAACUGAAAUCCAGAUGGUUUCUGGUUAGAUAUAUAUGGGUGCAGGACCUGAAAGUCAUGUCGAUUCCAGGGUGAGGGCACCAUCAGACCCAGCUUUAAAUAUAUACAAAUGUGGAGGUAUCUAUCCCUUCGAUGUAUUCAAAGCCCUUUCCAGGGCCCCUGGGUGGCUCAGUUGGUUAAGCAUCUGCCUUCGGCUCAGGCCGUAAUCUCAGAGUCCUGGGAUCGAGCCCCACAUGAGGCUCCACAUUCAGCAGGGAGUCUGCUUCUCCCUCUCCCUCUGCCCUUCCCCCCAUACUCUCUCCUCUCUGUCUCUGCCUCAAAAUAAAUAAAUAAAAUCUUAAAAAAAAACA
rnacentral:lncRNA from 12 species